GCUGGGAAAAUGGCUCAAUGGUAGAGCACUUGCCUAGCAUGCCAGAGGCCCUGGGUUUGAACCCCAGCACAGUG
rnacentral:tRNA from 1 species